rnacentral:rRNA from 1 species
CCUACGGGGGGCAGCAGUGAGGAAUAUUGGUCAAUGGACGCAAGUCUGAACCAGCCAUGCCGCGUGCAGGAAGACGGCUCUAUGAGUUGUAAACUUCUUUUGUACGAGGGUAAACGCAGAUACGCGUAUCUGUCUGAAAGUAUCGUACGAAUAAGCAUCGGCUAACUCCGUGCCAGCAGCCGCGGUAAUACGGAGGAUUCAAGCGUUAUCCGGAUUUAUUGGGUUUAAAGGGUGCGUAGGCGGUCGGUUAAGUUAGAGGUGAAAUCCCGAGGCUCAACCUCGGAAUUGCCUCUGAUACUGGUCGGCUAGAGAGUAGUAGCGGUAGGCGGAAUGCAUGGUGUAGCGGUGAAAUGCUUAGAGAUCAUACAGAACACCGAUUGCGAAGGCAGCAUACCAAGCUACUUCUGACGCUGAGGCACGAAAGCGUGGGGAGCAAACAGGAUUAGAUACCCCAGUAGUC